AUUGAACGCUGGCGGCAGGCCUAACACAUGCAAGUCGAACGAGUGGCGGACGGGUGAGUAAUGUCUGGGAAACUGCCCGAUGGAGGGGGAUAACUACUGGAAACGGUAGCUAAUACCGCAUACCAUCGGAUGUGCCCAGAUUGGAUUAGCUUGUAGGUGAGGUAACGGCUCACCUAGGCGACGAUCCCUAUCUGGUCUGAGAGGUUGACCAGGCACAAUGGAACUGAGACACGGUCCAGACGCCUACGGGAGGCAGCAGGGGGGAAGAGUGCACAAUGGGCGAAAGCCUGAUGCAGCCAUGCGGGGUGUGUGAAGAAGGCAUUCGGGUUGUAAAGUACUUUCAGCGGGGAGGCGUUACCAGCAGAAGAAGCACCGGCUAACUCCGUGCCAGCAGCCGCGGUAAUUC
rnacentral:rRNA from 1 species